UGAUUUUCUCUCUCAAAUAUCAUCUCUUGUGUUCUUGAAGAUAUAUCUUAGAUCUGCUAUGAUUAUGAAGUUUUAUGAAGAUUGAUCAUUGUUAGAGGACUCACAAUUGGUAUCAGAGCUGGAUUGCACAAAAUCAGUUGAAAGAAAUCAGAUUUUGAAGAAAUUUUCAAAGAUUAUUUUCUGAAUUUUUUUUUUGUUCUUCGUGUUCUUGUUUUUCUUUAAGUUUGAUCCGAAAUUUUUGGAAAAUUAUGUGUUUUCGUGUUAAAAACAGGAUCAUUUUGUGCGUAAUCUUGUUGUGAAUCUUUGUUUUACACAAAGAUUUACAUUUUGAUCUUCUGAUUUCAAGUUUUUGGUGAAUUUUGUGUUUUAAAUUUUUUUUAUGUGUUCUUAAUUUUUUUAAAUCCAGUGUUUUUGAUCUAUUUUGUUAAAACUUUCUUUUGUUUUUUAUGUUUUUGGGUCUAAAUCUUAAAGCCCAUCAGGAUUAGGCAAGCCCAAGAGGAAUAUAUCACUCAAAUCAAGCAGACUGCUAAAUCGAUCAAAUACCCAGCUUCAUCUUCUUCGCUCAAGAGUCUCAAUAUUCAGUCUCUAAAUCACAAGGUUCAUCGAUUUCAACCUUAAUCACACGGUAAAUCGCAGAUGUCUUGAUUGAUUUAAGGUUUUCAUCUCUCAAGGCUUGAGCAGAUUCUUUUAAAUCGGAGACUUCAUCGCACAAGUGUCCGGAUUCGAUCAACUCUUGACCGGAUAAGUGUUCGGAUUCGUACAACUCUUGACCGGAUAAGUGACCGGAUAGGUAAAUCGAUUGGCUCUUUGAUUGAUUUGUGAGCGAUUUAAGCGAGAGAGUUGAGCGAUUUAGGACUUAACAGUUUGUGCACCUAGGUAUCCGGUUUAUUAAAUCGUUAAAUCCAUCUCAUCCGGAUUCUUAAUCGCUCACUGUUUCUUGACACUAGUUUUGCUAAAUCGCAUACAGUUUUAUUGAUUUCAAGGGUUAUCCAAGUGUGUGAUUUAAGAGGAUUCAUAAAUCGUUCAAGUGAACUGCACUGUGUAUACGAAUCAACAUUCAUCCCUGGUUGAUUCGAGGUAUUGAUUUAGCUGUAUUGAGUCUUUCAUCGGCCAAGGUGCAGGACUGCAGAUUCACUAGUGGUUUGAAAUUGUGUCAUCGCAUCUAAGUUCUGUGUUUGUUUUUGCUAGUGGUGUUGUUUCUUCUGAUGCAUCUGAUUUCUCUUCUUGAUGAGAACCAAAUGAUGAUAAAUAUGAUCUUGAAGAAAUUGAUGUGAAUGAAAAGCUAAAAGCAAAGAUAGAAGGUGCUGAUGGUAAAAAGAAGACACGGGAAAGAACAACCAGCUGCAGGUUUACAGAACCUGCUUGUGUUGAUCUUUGCUGAGGAGUUUUCCAAUUCUGCAAUCUGUUUUUGCUGCUGCUGCUGCUAGUGUUGAUCUUAGAUGAUAAUGCAGCAUUAGUCAGAAGAGAAGCUUUGUAGCCUUUUGUGUAAAUCUGGUCAAUGUGACAGUAGAUGUCAGAUACAAAGGAAAUCCACAGCAGACUGUGUGCAUGGCUAAAAUGAUGAGGUCUGUUCAUUUCACAAGAUUGAAAGCCUUUUUGCAGCAAACUGUUUGGAAGUUUGGUUUUGUCCAAGUUGGUAGAAGAGACAGGACUGCCAAGAACUGCAUCAAGUUCAACAGUACUGAUUUCCAAGAUUUCUGCUUGCAAGUGCUAUUUGAUUUCCAAGAGUUCUGAUUUUCAAAGAGCUGUCCUUGGUGAAUGCAGCAGUAGCACAAGCUUUGGUUGUUAACAGAAGUGGGAUUCUUGGUGCUAUCUCAUUUUGUUGUGAAUUAGAACAUCUUAGACACUUGUAUAUCUUAUCUUGUAAUUGGGUUUGUUGUGUUUCUGGAUUUUGAGUUUUAUUUUUGUUUAGAUUGUAAU